UAGACAGUGAGUGUCUNCGGGGAACAUGA
rnacentral:piRNA from 1 species